rnacentral:rRNA from 1 species
UGGGGAAUAUUGCACAAUGGGCGCAAGCCUGAUGCAGCCAUGCCGCGUGUGUGAAGAAGGCCUUCGGGUUGUAAAGCACUUUCAGCGGGGAGGAAGGCGAUAAGGUUAAUAACCUCAUCGAUUGACGUUACCCGCAGAAGAAGCACCGGCUAACUCCGUGCCAGCAGCCGCGGUAAUACGGAGGGUGCAAGCGUUAAUCGGAAUUACUGGGCGUAAAGCGCACGCAGGCGGUUUGUUAAGUCAGAUGUGAAAUCCCCGGGCUCAACCUGGGAACUGCAUCUGAUACUGGCAAGCUUGAGUCUCGUAGAGGGGGGUAGAAUUCCAUGUGUAGCGGUGAAAUGCGUAGAGAUGUGGAGGAAUACCGGUGGCGAAGGCGGCCCCCUGGACAAAGACUGACGCUCAGGUGCGAAAGCGUGGGGAGCAAACAGG